rnacentral:rRNA from 1 species
GACGAACGCUGGCGGCAUGCCUAACACAUGCAAGUCUAGGGGUAGCAAUACCACUGGCGCACGGGUGAGUAACACGUAGGUUAUCUGCCCCCAUCACAGACAUAACCCCGGGAAACCGGGGCUAAUAUCUGAUGAGGUCGCGAGAUCAAAGCUUCGGCGGAUGGGGAUGAGCCUGCGGCUGAUUAGCUAGUUGGUGAGGUAAUGGCUCACCAAGGCGACGAUCAGUAGCUGGUCUGAGAGGACGAACAGCCACACUGGAACUGAGACACGGUCCAGACUCCUACGGGAGGCAGCAGUGAGGAAUAUUGGUCAAUGGGAGCAAUCCUGAACCAGCAAUGCCGCGUGUGGGAUGACAGGGCUUCGCCUUGUAAACCACUGUCGGACGGGACGAAAGGAGGCCUCGGGCCUCUGGGACGGUACCGUCAAAGGAAGGGUCGGCUAGGCUACGUGCCAGCAGCCGCGGUAAU